UACGUAGGGUCCCAAGCGUUAUCCGGAAUCACUGGGCGUAAAGCGUGCGUAGGCGGGUGUUUAAGUGAGAUGCGAAAUCUUGUGGCUCAACCAUAUAGACUGUAUCUCAUACUGGACACCUUGAGGAUGGCAGAGGCUAGUGGAAUUACCGGUGUAGCAGUGAAAUGCGUAGAGAUCGGUAGGAACACCAAUGGCGAAGGCAGCUAGCUGGGCCAUUUCUGACGCUAAGGCACGAAAGCGU
rnacentral:rRNA from 1 species